rnacentral:rRNA from 1 species
UACGUAGGGGGCGAGCGUUGUCCGGAUUCAUUGGGCGUAAAGAGCUCGUAGGUGGCUUUGUAAGUCGGAGGUGAAAUCCCACGGCUCAACCGUGGACACGCCUUCGAUACUGUGAAGCUUGAGGCUGGGAGAGGGAAUCGGAAUUCCUGGUGUAGCGGUGAAAUGCGUAGAUAUCAGGAGGAACACCGGUGGCGAAGGCGGAUUCCUGGACCAGUUCUGACACUGAGGAGCGAAAGCUAGGGGAGCAAACAGG